AACAGGUGUAUAAGGGGGUACCGACACUCCAUAUAUCAUACUGUAGCAGGUAUACCCCUUCUCUAACCCCCCCAACACCACCACUCACUGGAGAGCAGCAUGUACCCAGCAGCACCCCCCUUGAGCAUUGGCGUGCACACACACUCACACACAUUUAAAAACACAUACACACACACAGGAGCAGAAGACAACCCCUGGAGCUCGACCUACAUUGUGCGUCCUCCUGCCUCAGAUCUGACUAUUCAUCACCACAUGGCACCAGUCCCCCAUUGGGAAGAGGUGGCGUUGCUUUUGGGGGAGAGAGAGUGAGGAAGGGAGACAGAGGGGAGAAAGAGCAUGGUAUGCUACACAGUGUAGGACAGGGCGUCCUUUACACCUCCAGAACAAUGGGACCUUCAGCGUUAGUGCUGCAGAGUGAAGCUCCUACUGGAGGAAGAUGGGCCCAGUGAGUCGCCAUCGUUAAAACAAAGUGGUCCAGAAUCCAGUACAGGGAUUCAGAUUUUAGAAGAGUUUCGUUAAUUUUAGUCUUUGUAUUUUGAAGGGGUGUUCCGAUCUGAUAUUUAUAUCGAAUAUCGGUCCUAUAUCAGUAAAUAAACAAAUAUCGGAAUAUAUCGGCCUGCAUCUAAAAUCUCCAAUAUCAGCUAUCCGAUAUAAGCAGUCUAUUCCAGACUUCGCUCCGGCAUCGCUAACUAGCAGUGCCUGGAUCUAGAAUGAGUCCACAUAAUCACAACAACAGUGUGUACUAAGAUACUGACAAAGUAGCAAGGAGUGGGAGUGAUGUUUGUGCCAAUAUCGGUAUCGAUCAAUGUCAGUAUUGGCCAAUAAUGAAGGCUACAAUAUUGGUAUCGUAUCGGAAGUCAAAAAAAUUUGUAUCCUGACACCCCUCGUAUUUUGUGUUGUUUUAGUCAAGCUUUAGUCAGAGGUUCUCAGUUUUUAUUUUCAUCUAAUUUUUUUGUCACUUAAAGAAUAGUUUUUUAUAGAAAGAUGUAAAAAUCCCAGAGAUUGCCUUAAUAUUAUAUUCAGUCAUCGUAGUUGAAAAUGUUUUUCUAACUUUUCAUGUCACAGAAAAAACUGAACACCUAAAACUUGUUUAGAAAAGUGCAAUAAGUCAUUUCAAUUGUAUGGGGGAACAUUUAACUGAACUCUGUUAUUGUUUGCUGAAUGACUCAGGGUCUGAAUAUAAUGGAAUCAGACUUUAGAAGAAUGUAGCUCUGUUCAAGUAAAGGAUCGGUUAACCAGCGCCGCAUGCUGAGCACUAUCUGGUAUUAUGAAGACUUUUGCUAGCUUGUCAAAGAGUGUUACCAUAGUGCAAGUCACUAGAGACUUGAUUUCUCAGAGAAAUCUGAAUUUGGUGAACAUCAGAUUUGUAGAUUUAUUUUGUAUUCCUGUCAGAGGAUCAGCCUGCGUCCUUGUUAUGUACCUGAGCAGACACUGAAGAGUGCUUUCUUUUCCUAGAUCUGUUAUUUUUCUGCCAAUAUGCUCAUACAGAUGGCACUCUGUUCUAAUCAGAACGAUACUCUCAGUCUCAUCUUUUAAAAGAAUGUGUCCACAGCUCGUCUCUUUUCUUCAGACUGCGACUGUAAUAAGGCUUUAUAGUUUUUAGUGAUGCCAGCUGUCUGAAUGAGAAUUGUUAGCCCUUUGAUAGGAUCCCUGUUAGCUUGCUAGUUUUGGCUUCUUACCAGAGAGUUACCAGAUCUAAAACGUUUUCUGUAAAUGCAUCACCUUAAAGUAAUUGUGGUGCAUGCAAAGGUCAUGCCCAAAUAACAACUCCAUAUUCAACCCAAGCAUACAUACAUGUGCUUCUGUAUACAGUUUUUGUUCAGCACACCAAAUGCACACAUCAGCAUUGCUUGACCAAACACUUUGUACAUGUAACAACUGGGCAAGUUUUGUUCAUUGGAUCCACAAAGAAAGGACAAACUCAUAUUUUGUCUGUUUUAUCAAGAGUGUGAUGAGCCACUUGUCCCACAAGAUGAGACAUCAGAUCUGUCUACAGAAACAAACCGUGACACACAGUUGUCUGUCUCUACAUUUUAAAGCAGAAUUAGGAAAAAACAACUCGUGACUCGUAUGUCUUGUUUUGUGCACCUGUUUGUCAUGAAAUUGUCUUUAUAUGUAUUUUUUUUAUGAAAACCCUUUUUUACUUGAUUAGUAAUAAUAAACAUCCGCUACCUCCUGCAUGCGGCACAAAAGAUCUAAAGGGUGAUAUUUCUUGAGUUUGUCUGAUGAUGUUCAUUAAAGACAGAGAGGUUUACUAAUCCUAGCUUUACUCUCUUGCCUUGAAUUAUCAGAUUUUCUCAUCAUAAUGGGUUCACUAUCUUUGCCUUUAUUACAAAUAUGUAGGUGUAUUUGUGCAUGUCCCUCCAUGUUUGCCUUGUUGAUUAUCAUCCAUAGGUCUGGUUAGAAAUCUUUCUAGCUGAAAUCAUGUCCAGACUGUGGCCUGUAAGUUUACCCAGUAUCAUAAGCUCUUACUGUGCCCCUCUCUUUUGGCCUCAGUGAAUACUUAUGGCAACAACAGAUUUUUAGUUAUCCUUUUAAUUCUUCGGAUAUUUUCUCUCAAUGUACAUCUCGGAAUAGCUGGCCUGAGUCAAAUGUGCUGGGACUGUUUCCUCAAACGUUUGCACUGAUUAUACAGUUUUUUUUUUUUCUGCCUGGUAUGUCUCAUCAAGUACGAUACUAGCUUUUUUUUUAACAUCUUACAGCUGCGGUCACUCAGGCUCUGCUGGGCUCAGCAGCAAAGUUAAGGUCUUGUUAGUGCAGAAAAGUUGCAUCAAAUUUUAAUUUAUUAACAUUUUAUUCAAAGUCCCAGGCCUGACAUAUGUGCUUAUAUAACAAGGCCCGUGAGACUAAUUGGUCUCAGUGUGAAAGUGGUCUGUCCACUCAGCUACCAUGAAAAACAGUGAUCUCAGGCCGGCAUGACUGAUUGGGUAUUUUUAAUGUAAGUGGACGAGGAUAAACAACCAGCCCCCCCACCCCCUUAAAAAAAGCAUUUUGAAAUUUUUUUUUUUUUUUUUUUGUGUGAAACUUGUUUUUUUCAGAGGGAUCAGGAUCAAGCCGUACUCUGAGGCUGAGUUGUGUUUUUUGGAGAUAUUGCAUCUCUGUAGGACACUGACAAUCUGCACCAAUCAUUUUAGCUCGAUUUGUUGGGCACGCUGAUUGCACUGGUCUCUGCUGAUUGCACUGAUUCAAGAGUUUGAAGAUGGGGUCGGAUAAGCAUUCUCUGAGUGAAGGCUGAACUUGCUGUUCUUACAGAAAAAGGAGGUUUUUGUGUAAAUCUUUGCUUAAAUACUUAGUUAUCUCGAGUGGAAUAUCUUCUACUUUACCAAUUAAAUGAUGAUUAAAUUACGUUAAAGUAAACUUUGAUAAACUAUCUUUAUGGAAAGACGUUUGUAGCUCUUGAGAUUUUAAAGUCUUAUUUACUGAAAAGGAAUCAGCUGAAAACAUCUUCAAGUGUGUGAACUCCAAGGAAAUACAUAAAACACCUCAGUAAGAUUGAAGGAUGCCCACUGAAAGUCUUUUUUCUCUCCUAAAUAGUCACUUAUUUCCUCUGGCACACACACACACAUACAUGCAUGUCCUGGUUCGAUGACAAAAUUUAUGAAGGUUAUCUGAGCUAAAACCUGUUGAAGAUCUGUCCCCACAAUCACAGUCCACUGAAAUAGUGCUGGGCGAUAGGACGAUAGAUAUCGUGGGCACGAUAGAAAAUGUCUAUCGUGCCAUUUUUAUUUUUAUCGUUUUGGGCGAUAGGCUGUAUUUUAUCCAUAGGGCUUGUGCCAUCAGAUGAUUCAUAGUAACAACAACAAUAAUUGCACAUUCAGUAAGUGUAUUUGGUGUCGAACGGGAAAGAAAACAAUAUUUUCUUACAAAGAAAAGGAUGCGUUGACAUGUAGGCUCGCAUUUCUCUUUCGAUUUUGCGACAUGACGCCGUUUACGUGCCCUCUUCGUGUCCAGCGUCUCCCGCCGUUGCGGGUUACCUGAGUUACACACGUGAGGGGAUCAUUGUAAGCAGUGCUUAAUUUGUGCCGGAGCAAGUCGGAGCGCGCUCCGGGACCUCUUUUGAUCGGAUCCGGGACCUAUUUCAGCUGUUCCGGCACCUGUUUCAUCUGCUCCGGGACCUUCCCUGUAGACGAUGACAUUUUGCGGGAAUUCCCGUGGGUCACGUGAUUCCCGCAGGGAAUCCCACGGGAUGGGAAUCAUUUUUUAAUUAAUCCCUUGAUCGGGACGGGACGGGAAAAAAGCAACGGGAGUGGGCAGGAGCGGGAACAACAUUAAAAGAUGAUCAUUUUCAGCCGUGUUUAACAACCAGAUGAACAGGUGCGUCCAUAUUUGUAGUCAUCUCUUAGUGAGAGCCAACACUCUUGACCGCGCUAGCAACACAAAAGAACUACAACAGUGAUUUGACUUCCUGUCAGCUGGGAGCGCGGCUGCGCAUUUCUACCCUUCAAGCCAGCAGCGAGGAAACGUAAUUUUGUGACAUUCUGUAGUUUUUCAAUCAUUUCUGGAGUCGUGGCGAAUCAAAUCACCUUACCUGUCUGCUCCUGAUAGGCGAAUAAAGCGCUCGGAUUCAUGCUCUGGUCUUGCUACGUGCUUCAAGAGUAAAGUAAACAAUGAUGGAGGCAGAGAGCAGCUUUGGAGGAGAAACAUCUAGCAGUGUGAACAACCUCUUUAAAAGAGCCCUAAAGACCUACCUUUUCAAUAAAGCCUUAGGUUACCAUAUCGCCCAGCACUACACUGAAAGAUCUCAUCCAAACACAUUGUACCCAUGAUGAUCUACAGGUUGCUUCAAAAAAUUUCAAAGUCCUUCCACUGUUGGUCAAGUUGUCAUCUUUUCUUGUUAAAGGGUUUGGAUCCCACCUCAUCCUCAGGUUAAAAACCUCAGUGUAGAUGCCUCUAGUGAGCGUGAUUUCUGCUCCUUUAUGGUGAUCCAGAUCAUUUGGCUCGACUAAAACUGUCUUUGGACUACAAAAAGGCUCACUGAAGUUGCAUUUCUACUUUUAAGAUCAGGCCCCCAGAGCUAAGCUGUUUGCAACCAACACAGGCUUCCCAUCCCAGAGCAGGGAUGUAUUUUAUACAUAGGCUGCAUAUACUAUGGACAACUUGGUUCCGCCCUCUGCCGUUAUAUGAAUUUGAAGCCGAAUCUCUCUCUGCAUUUACCUAUCUUUCAGGUGUCAAUCAUAGAAAACAUGAACCCCCAAAUAACUUUUAAAAGUGGAGCUGUACAGGAAAAAAAAACAGUCUUACAGUAACUACAUGUCAACAUCGCAACCAGGGGGGAGAAAAAAAAUUAUAUUCUCUGUAAUAAAUUUCUAAAGUUUGUCCACAGCUCCAUAAGAAUUGCUGGAGGAGGCAGGAUUUAUGACCUAUACUGCAGCCCAUCAACAGAGGGUGCUGUUUUCGCGGUGGCUUCACCCAGCGAAGAGGCAGAUGGCGUCCAUUCUAUAUACAGUCUAUGGUUUUUUACUGUUAGCUGGGCUAGCAUAUUGUGCUAGUUUAACUCUUAACAGUAUUGGUGAGGGGUUCACAAAUGUUUAACCUAUGUUUUAACAAUGUCUUGUCUUGGUAAACCCGCACAGACUUAAUGUCUACUUGUGAGUGAGGAUUCAUAAGUGAUGCCACAUUAAGUAAUUGGAGAGGCCCUUGAUUGCCUGGUCCUUGGUGAUUCUUUGGCCUUUUGCUUCAUUUGUUUGGUUUACUUCUCUCCACACCAGUUUUACUCAUUUAUAGCAGGUGUAGUUUUUAUUUGAAUUUAUAGAUUUGGCCUCCAAGCUGGAGUGCAAGCUCUCUUCAUAUGUGGAGAGUCAAUCAUUUCCUACCCUCUGCCCAACAGCCUCACAUUGAGCAGAACAAAGCACUGCAUGAGUGUACUCUCCACAUGGGGUUAUUGAUUACUAGACGGGAAAGUCACCUUAUUUUCAGAGGAAUUUGGAUGUUUGCAUAGCUACAUCUGCAGAGGAUUUCUAGAGCAUGUUCAAAAGUUUUGAUAGAGCUUUUUUUUUUUUUUUUUUUUUUGGGAGGGCCAGAUGGUUUCAAUUUUUAGUUUAUCACAUUUGUUGCAUUGUUGUUCCCUACAUUCAGAUGAGCUCUUCCAUAUGUGCUCUAUUCUGCUGCUGCCACUGUCAGCCUGAACGUCCUUGAUGCUACAUAUGAGAGGUCCCCUAAUGCCAGUAGUUCUUUUGUCUUCAUCCAGCCUUCAAAAUAGGUUUCUCUGAUUGAGAUGAGAUAGAAUUUGGUUUCUUUUUUCAUGCCAGACACAAUCUCUGUCUCCCUGUUUUCCCUCUGGAUCUGGAGAGAAAAGGAGAGCAAAGAAGAUUUUAAUUGCUCUCCUCUCAUCCACAUCUUCCCCACCACAUUCAUCAAGUCGUCUUUCCCUCCUUAGAAAGAGGCUGGAGGGUGUCGUAGAGCGAGGCAAUGAGAUUUUAUUUUAUUAUUUGGGGGCAAGGGGGGAUUCUCCCAUGGGACGGGGCACAUCUGGGGAUGGGAUGGUGAUGGAGGAUAAAGGGAUGAGGCAGGGAGAUUGGUGUUUGUGUGCGGACGUAUGAAGCUGUCUGUGCCUUUGAGUGUGUGUCUGAGGAUCUUCUGUGCGUGUCUCACAGAGGGAGGGGAGGGGAGGCAGACGAGAGAGGGCCUGAAAUCCUUGGGGAGUCUGUGAUUGGGAGGGAAAUGGGGAAUUGGGACUCAGGGAGUAUGAAGUAGAGGUGGAGGAGGGAGAAGGAGAUGGGUAAAAAAGGUAGGAUGAAAAGGGCAAAUUAAAGCCCUGCUGCAGCAAAAACUUGCAAUUAUAUGACGGGAGAAAAGACAAGUGCAUUUUUCAAAGUUUUUGGCAGGGAGCUCUGCCUCCAACAAAUAGAGGCACGGUCCUUGAAAGGAGCGAAAAGUGGCUCUCUGUUGAUCAGAGCCAUUAUUUGAAAUCAUCACAGUAAACCUGUACUUUUACUCCUUUUUAACGAAAGCAGAAUCUGGCCACAACAUGCUGACACAUUUCCUCUAAUAACAGGCUUCAUCGCUGGAUGGAGGCUUGCUUUUUCUGCCUUUCAAAACCAACAUAUUCAUUGCUGCCAACUCCAGAAGGACAUAAUGAUACACAUGGAUGUGCUUCAAGGAGGGUUCACGCUCGAUAACGGUGGCAUGCUUUUUUUGGUGCAUGUCAGACCCUCACUGAAAAGUUUGCAGCUGCUGGACAGGAAGAGAGAUAAAGUGGCUGUUUUUGAUUUUUUUUUUUUUUUUUGGACUGAAAAGAAGAAAAAAAUCAUUUCUAAAACUGCAAUAACAUUACCUUAUUGAUGGGCAAUACUGAUACUGUUUAUCAAGACCCUCUUCCCCAAUCACUUCUCUUGUAGCAGUAUUUCCACAUUUAGUUCUUUGAGCCUCACUCAGUAUGACGUUAUCUUCACAGAGAUAAUUUUCAUGGGCCUGCUUUGCAUGUUGAUAUUAAGCGUAUUAACUAGGGCUGUUGCGAUUCGCCUAUUCCACGAUUCGAUUCAACUUUCUAUUCUACGGUCACGAUUCGAUUCGAUUCUCGAUUCGAUAUGACUUUUUUUUACCUCCUUUUUUCAGCAUUGUGAGCUGUACGACCAUUAAUUAGGCCACUGUCUUGAUUUGUAAAGAAAAACACUUUUUCUCAAUCAGUCACUUUAAUGACAAAUGAGAAGAAUUCAAUGUUUAACAUAAACAAACAUUAUAGAAUAAAUUAUAAACUUAGGGUUUUAUGCCCUAACAACUUCCAUUUUCAAAUUCUUCUUUAAGAAGAUGUAACAGUUAGUUUUCAGGUAACAAUCAAUCAACCAAUAAUGUUGAACAACAUGUAAGAAAAAAGGACCAACGAACAAUGUUAUUUGGCUACAUUUGGCUCAAAUUCAAAUUCUUCCACAGUGAGUCCACUAGACCACUACUGUAUUAUUCACAUUAUUCUAACAGAGAGCUUUCCUUUUACAAACAUGAAAUGUGAAUAAUGCCAAAACAAUUCCAUUCAUUCAAGCUCUAUAUCUAUGUGCAAAUUCUUCUUAAGGAAGAUGAGCUUGUUCACAUUUUCUGGAGAGAGGCAACUCCUCUCAGCUGUUAUAAGGUCCCCUGCUGUUGAGAACACUCUUUCACUGGCAACACUGGUUGCUUGAACAGAAAGAUAACGUUUGAUUGAGGGCUGCGUCAGGUUUUGUGGUUCUUUCACAUCUUUGUGGUGACGGCUGAGAUGCUGUGCCAUAUUCGUUGUGUUGCUUGUGGAGGGAUACGGCACUCGCAUAUAGCGGAGUCGACAAACAGUAUGCGUCUUACUUACGACCCGUCGAGAGCCCUCACUCUCAUAAUGUACAGGGAAGCCAAAAUAUUUCCACACUUUAGACCUGUAUGAAGCGGGAGGGUUUUCCAGCUCUUCUCUGGGGACAGGCUCAUCCUCGGUGUCGUUGUUUACAGACGCAGUGGCCAUGGUGAAUCGAAUUCACUGUGUAUCUCUCUGUAAUAUAUAUCUGCGGUGACGUUCUGUUCGCUUUCGCUCUCAUUCAUUUCUGUUGUUACUCGAAUCGCCUCUCCUUUUUUCUCUCUCCCAUGUCGGAAGCAUGCAUGCGUCAAGGUAGGGUGUAGUGAGACAGUAGGAGCCCUAACGCAAAUACUCCCCUCCCAUUGGACACAUAACUCAUGUGACUCGUUCUCGUCCAAUGGGACAGGAGUGUUUGUUUGGGAUCUGACUGUCUGAUGAUAGCCUAGCCACAGCCAGCAGCCACACACACCCAUAACAAAACCACAUGGCUCGGAGCCUCGGACGUGCGCGGAAGUCCAUCGCGAUUCACGUUGUGAUUUCGAUACGUUAGAUCGAAUGGCUAUUACGAGUCAUUUCGAUUAAAAUCGUGAAUCGCAACAGGCCUAGUAUUAACCAAGUGAUUUUGCACUAUAUGUUCUGUAGCUUUGCAAUACCGUCAGUUAUUUGUUGUUAAAAAAACAUCUGAUUUGGGGAAAUAAUGCAUUUGUUAUUGUUUUUGUCACAGGAAAACUCUCAGUUUCUUCUUUAGGAGUAAUCAAUAGUUGAUUUUUUAAUUACUUAAAAGAGGUUAGGGCUGCAGCUAUCAAAUAUUUUACUUCUCAAAUAUUCCAUUGAUUUCUUAUAUAAUCUGACCCAAAUGGCUGACUAACACACAGUGAGAGUUCCUACAUCACAAAUCCAAGCUCAAGC